AUUGAACGCUGGCGGCAGGCUUAACACAUGCAAGUCGAGCGAGAGGCGGACGGGUGAGUAAUGUCUGUGCAACUGCCUGCUGGCGGGGGAUAUCUACUGGCAACGGUAGCUAAUACCGCACACCCUCAUAUGUGCCCCGAUGGGAUUAUGUAGUGGGUGGGGUAAUGGCUCACCUAGGCGCCGAUCCCUAGCUGGUCUGAGAGGAUGACCAGCCACACUGGAACUGAGACACGGUCCAGACUCCUACGGGAGGCAGCAGUGGGGAAUAUUGCACAAUGGGCGCAAGCCUGAUGCAGCCAUGCCGCGUGUGUGAAGAAGGCCUUCGGGUUGUAAAGCACUUUCAGCGAGGAGGCGUUACUCGCAGAAGAAGCACCGGCUAACUCCGUGCCAGCAGCCGCGGUAAUAC
rnacentral:rRNA from 1 species